rnacentral:lncRNA from 1 species
GUCAAAAUCAACAGUAAUUGGAAACGUUAUUAUAUUAUUAUAUUAUUUGGAAACUUUGGAAUUGGAAUUUAUCGAAAAUCUUAACACAAUCUCCAACAUUUAAGUAACACAAAUAAAGUUUCCAGACCGAAUUAAAAAAUUGAUAGUGAUCAGAUAAAUACAAAAAUUUAAAAAGAUAUAACAGAAUUCUAAUGCACAAUUUGUAGCCAUAGGGUGAGGCACCAAUUUCAAAAUCUUUUAGAAGUAAAUUGUGAACUGCAUGUAGAAUAAAAAGUCAGACAGACAACAAACAAAACAGUACUAUGCCACGCUUGUUACGUACAGAUAACAAACUGUCAAACUACAGCAAAUGAAGUCAAAUUAGUGUCGUCCCACCCUGUGAUCUUCGUGCAUGCUCAAUAGAAAGUCGUUUGUUUGCUCGCAGUGGUUUCUCCUCAGCUCCGAAACCACUGCCAGCAAGGUAGACAUAUUUCAACAUGGCUACGGAAUAAAUAGUCUUUAUAUUUUAAUUUAACAAGAAACAUUUACAUUUUAAUGAAUGAUGAAAAUGACCACUGGAAAGUCUCUGCAGUUUAAGAUUCUAGAUUCUUAUAAUUUUAAUAUAUUUGUUAUGAAUAUCAUCUUAAUUAAUUAAUGGAUGAAAGUUUGUGAGAAGGGUGGAAGGCUGUUGUGUAUAUUGGAACAUAUUGCUUAGAUUUUUACUGCAUUAUAAGAAAUCACCACACUCAUACAUAGACUUUUUAAUCCACAUACUGUAGUUGUUAAACGAGUUGUAUUCAUAUAUAAUUGGAGUGGUAUUUUCAGAAGUAGCUAAUACACUAGAUGAAAUAUAAAAACCACAUAGAGGAUUUUGUCUUAAUAUCUGCUAGACUGCUAUCUACCUGUCUUUGAGCAUAGUUUCAGGCUGCUGGAGAGCCAUCUGUACCGGUAUAUUGGAAACUUGUAUUACUUGCAUGUUGCAAACAUCACUAGUUCACUACCUACAG